rnacentral:lncRNA from 1 species
CUCUUCUGUUCCUGCAAACCCCAGAGAACAUGCUGUAUGAGUGUGAUGGAAAUAAUUUCACUUUCUCUGACUUAUGAUUAGUGAAGAGGAUUUCAGGCUGGCAUCAAGUUACAGAGAUGGGGCCUGGAUGUGUUGCUUAGGCUGUGUGAAACACCUGGUCUUAAGCGAUCCUCUCACCCUGGCCUCCCAAAGCAUUGGGAUUACAGGGAGAAAAGAAUGGGAACUGUGAGGAAAAGAAUGACAUGAACAAUGGGAAGACCAAGGUCCCAGCACAAGUAGUAGAUGCUGAGGAAAGAAGAAGUAUGUUGUGGAGAAUUGCAUAAAUUCGCUAGAAUCAGAAGUCAGUUGUCCUGAUCUCAGAACAAUUUGGUGUGUACAAAGUCCAAGGUUUGAAAACUCAUCAAGAAGUCAGCAUCCUGCAAGAAUCAGCCACCCAUGCCACACUUUCUAUAGUAACUUCUGUUCUGCAUCAGACUACAUCACUCUGGCUUUCUGGGAUCACUUUUAUAAUACAAAGAAUGACUGCAAUAUAAGCUUUGAAAGACUGACUCACUAAGGAAACAAGACAGGUUUGGAAAAAUGGAUCCCUUGCCAUUGACGCACUCUGGAGAACUCUUUAAAAAAUGGUAAUCUGAGAAAUUUAAUUGCCACGUAACUGUUCACAUAAAACUGAUACUAUCAGUAAGUGGACCAAAUUAAAUAUUCUGUGAAAACGUUGCAUUUCACAACCAGGUGUUUUGAUUUUUUGAAAUGAAAGAAAAAAAAAGGAAGUCAGCUUUUAGCUAUGUGGUGCAGUUGAUCUUCUCUGGAAAGUUAUUCUGCAGAUCUACCAAAUGAAUUAAAGAUGAGAAGACAAAUGUAGGAGAUAAAAAGGCAAAGAAGAGAUGUUUAUCUGCUGUGUACCACUUUUGUGAUGGUGGAUCCCUUCAUCUUUCUGUGCCUCAUUUUUUUCUUAUUUCUACAUAGAGGGCACUAUUCCAGGCCAGUGCUCUGGGAGGAAUUACCCAGAAUCCCUGUAGAAGCCACUACUGAUGUCAGCUACAAGAGGAAGGGAACCCAAGUGGACUUCAGCCAGAACAAAGCUCUGUCACAUGUUGGAAUUUUACUGAACUUGAACAAAUUAUUCUUCAGAAAAAGUAUUUUAAAGUCAAAAGACUCCUAGAUGAUUUCUAGGUCUUUUGCAGCAUUAACUUCCUUUGAAUCAAUGCCUUCAAUGAUUAUUUAAAA